AAACCAACAGGGAUUGCCUCAGUAACGGCGAGUGAAGCGGCAAAAGCUCAAAUUUGAAAUCUGGAGCCUUCGGCUUCCGAGUUGUAAUUUGAAGAGGGUGUUUCGGUUGCGGCCCUGGCCUAAGUUCCUUGGAACAGGACGUCAUGGAGGGUGAGAAUCCCGUACAUGGCUGAGGGCUUGCUUCCAUGUGAAACCCCUUCGAAGAGUCGAGUUGUUUGGGAAUGCAGCUCAAAAUGGGUGGUAAAUUUCAUCUAAAGCUAAAUAUUGGCGGGAGACCGAUAGCGCACAAGUAGAGUGAUCGAAAGAUGAAAAGCACUUUGAAAAGAGAGUUAAACAGUACGUGAAAUUGUUGAAAGGGAAGCGCUUGCAAUCAGACUCGCUUUCGGUUGAUCAGCGACGCCUUCUGGCGCGUGCACUCUGCCGUUUGCGGGCCAGCAUCGGUUGGGGCGGCGGGACAAAGGCGGCGGGAAUGUGGCUCCUCUCGGGGAGUGUUAUAGCCCGUCGCGUCAUGCCGCCAGCCCCGACCGAGGUCCGCGGUUCGCCUAGGAUGCUGGCUUAAUGGUUGUAAGCGACCCGUCUUGAAACACGGACCAAGGAGUCUAACAUCUAUGCGAGUCUUUGGGUGUCAAACCCAUGGGCGGAAUGAAAGUGAACGGAGGUGGGAGUCCUCGGACGCACCAUCGACCGAUCCUGAUGUUCUCGGAUGGAUUUGAGUAGGAGCAUAGCUGUUGGGACCCGAAAGAUGGUGAACUAUGCCUGAAUAGGGUGAAGCCAGAGGAAACUCUGGUGGAGGCUCGCAGCGGUUCUGACGUGCAAAUCGAUCGUCAAAUUUGGGUAUAGGGGCGAAAGACUAAUCGAACCAUCUAGUAGCU
rnacentral:rRNA from 1 species